rnacentral:lncRNA from 1 species
AGCCGGGCGUGGUGGCGCACGCCUUUAAUCCCAGCACUUGGGAGGCAGAGGCAGGCGGAUUUCUGAGUUCAAGGCCAGCCUGGUCUACACAGUGAAUUCCAGGGCUGUACAGAGAAACCCUGUCUCGAAAAACUAAAAAAAAAAAAAAAGUUCUGUUUGUACCCGGUUAGCUUGUUAGAGAAAUAACUGAGUAAAAGGCCUGUGAUACUUCACAUUGCUGUCACCAGGUUAAAGGAGCAAAAGGUGUAAAAAAUAAGUGACUGAGAUCCAUAGGGCAAUAUAAACUGUUAACAUGUAAAAUGACACAAGUUUUUAAAAACUUUCCUUUUCUGGACUUGAUGCUGGGUAAACAUAGGAAUUCCAAGGCAGAUACUUUGCUAAGUGAGCAUUUGCUGUGGCUUGCCAGAGUCCUUAUCAAAUUCGGGGUGGGAAGUCUUACAUUAUGUCAGUGCCUCACAGAGGAACACAGAUAAUGCCUAGAAGAAACUGAAGCUUCUAAGUCCUUUCAAAUGACUAGUUUGAAAUAAAAUCUUGGGUCAAUAAUAGUCUAAAUUUUGUCAUGUAGGGACUUAACACUUGAGUGUUACGGUCUGUCUGGUAUUUAGGUCUGGUUAGUUUUGGUGUGUAAUUUCAACAUUUGUAGGUUAUUUCAGGUGUGUUUAUUUUUACUUUAGGUAUUUUGCCUGCAUGUUUGUGUGUCAUGUGCUUGCCUGGAGUCCAUGUAGGCCAGAAGAGGGCAUUGGAGUCUCUGGAACCAGAGUUAAGCAUACAUGGUUGUCCAUUGCCAUGUGGGUAAUAAACCCAGAUCCUCUGGAAGAGCAACAGGUGCUCUUAACCACUGACCCAUCUCCCCAGCUCUGCAAUUCUUAAAGUUAAAAUUAAAAGUUAAUACUAAAAAAUUAGGAGAAAAAAGGCAGGAAAGGCAAAAAGAAGUGUUUGGGCCAUGAUAACUAGUUAAAAUUUUUCUUUGUUCCUUUUACCGAUUUUCUUCCUUUGCUACUAGAACACAAGUUGAAAGUAAGCAGGAAGCUGAGUAUUAUCAGAUUUGCUUGAAUGCCAUUGAAUAGAGCCCACACAGCUGCUUUCUCCAACCUCUUAUUGAAGAAGCUCGAUCAUUUCUAGCCCAGAUGUGUAUGGUAGUUACUAUGCUAAGAGAAAAUUUCAGGGCAGUAAAAUAUAAUUCCCUACUUGUAUAAUUGAACUCUCCUCACAAGGCUUGGAGAUGUGGAGUUAGGAGCAGAAACAGGAAGGCAGUGUGUAUGCUGAUUCAGUUCUCUGAACCUUGGCUAGACUUAGAUGAAAAGCUCUCAUUAAAUUUCAAGCAUCCACCAUUAAUCUUUGUCAAUU